AUGUACAUGAGCUUCUGUACUCCAGCUUAUCUUUGUUCAUGGACGACUGGCCUGCAAAAACUCACUCCGACACCUCCUGCGUGGCUUCCCCUGCGCCUCUCGUGGCCACUUUUCUCUGACUCCGGCAUAGAAAAUGGUCUCUCGCAUGAAAAUGUUCUAUGUUGGAUGAACAAUCCAUAUGCAUGGGUAGUUCAUUGGGCCGACAGCAAUCCGGUGGCCCUCGGCAUCGACCUCGGUGUCAUGAAGAACAUCCAAGAUUAUAUGGUCGAGAAGCUCAGCGUCGACAAGAGCAUCAUCCUAGAGCUCUGCAUCAUCCUCUACAAGCAAGCCAUUGUGCACCAAUUUGACGACGAUGAUUUCCACAGCUUUGUUCAUGGAUGGCUGGCUUACAAAAAGCUCACGCCGACGCCUCCGGUGUGGCUUCCCCUACGCCUCCAGCAUAGAAAUGGUCUCUUGCAUGCAAAUGUUCUGUGUUUGAUCAAUCCAAAUCUGCAGUUGUCUCCCCAUGUAAUGGCAUCAAGUUCAGAGCGCCCCAACUGCCUCUCCUUCGACCGUGGUUCAGGUAGUGGCUCGGUCUCCACUGUACUCUAUCCCUUGCUCUAUGGUGCCUGGCCAUUGUGCUUAGUCCAUGCUGUGAUCCUUGUUGUCGAGCCUUGGUUCUCUAGUGUAGUGUUUGGCCUGUGGGGUGGACUGGGCAACAAUUCUGAGAUUUGUGGUGUCUUUUGGACCGAUAUAAAACACUUAGCUUGUGAACUUGCGUUGAUUUCUGAACCUAUGGAGAGCAUGUCUAAAGAAAAGAAAAACCUGGAUAAUCAUGGUUGUUACAGGCCUAGGGAAAUUGAUACACUCAUGGGCCACCUGAUGUUGGUUGUCAAGCUUGUUUGCUGCGACCAUCAGCCGAUGUAUCCUUCAUCAGUGCACGGCCAUGGCGAUGAAAUGCUGCGUUGA
rnacentral:rRNA from 1 species